GGGUCAGUAGGUUGGUCGUGCCACCGGUACGUACUGGUCUCACUGAUUCCUCCUUCCUGAAGAACCGUAAUGCCAUUAAUUUGGUGUUGCGGGGAAACAGGACUGUUACUUUGAAAAAAUUGGAGUGUUUAAAGCAAGCUAACGCUUGAAUACGUUAGCAUGGAAUAAUGAAAUAGGACGAUCGAUCCUAUUUUGUUGGUUUCUAGGAUUGACGUA
rnacentral:rRNA from 1 species